GGGACCGGCGCGGCGCUGACAGCACCCAGCUCCCCCGCGGCAGAUGCCCCCCGGGCGGGGGCGGAGCGGGUUCACCUUGCGGAGAGGAGAGGGGUUCUGCUUACACUGUCCCCGCCGGCCUCAGCCACGGAGCGCGAACACCACGGCGACCCACGCUCGCACCCCGGCGGCAGGCGGAACAGGCGGAGCCCACGCCGCCUCCCAUUGGGCGGGGACGCCCAGGGAGGAAAGGUCACGCAGAAGGAGGGGGCGCCUCGUGCUCGCACGGGCGUUGAGGGAGGGUGGCGAGUCACGCGCUGGCUGGCUGGCUCGCCCUCCCCCGGGCUGUGUGUGGUGCGCGCACGAUCCCAACUCCUCAAGCACACUCCACAGAUUAUCCCAGCUUCUUGUGAUCAGCCUAAACCUUAAAGGUAUGUUUACUGUGUAAGAACAGAGUUAGUGGCACUCAAGUCCAUGGACCCAGGGCUUGAAUGUACAUACUGCGCAUGAACCCUCAGUUUAGAAUUUCAAGACUCAGGCCCAAUAUUCCAAUGUCUACACUGUAGUAUGCAGAUCUGAGUCAAACCAGCAUAUCCCAGGCUUCCUAGUGUUCUCCCCAGCUGUGACCGCUCUGGUUUGUGAUGAAGUGUGGGAAAACUGAUGGCCACCCUAUGCAUUACAGGAAAUUGUCACCAUUUCAAGAGCUUCUCUUGCUUGCUUGCUUUCACUUCUGUUUCUGCUAACAGAUAGAGCAUCCAUAAGAAGCUGGUGGACAUUCUGACAGUGUUUUCUGAGCUACCAAACGUGCCUGUUGGAAAAGGGGGACAACACGGACAUGAAAAAAUUGAACUGGCUGACGCUGCUUGUGACUCUUAGUGUAGCCGCUGAUGCCCUGGACCAGCACUUCUGGAGCAGGACCACAAGCACAGACGGGUGAUUCCAUCACCAGGGAUGGCCAGCAAUGAGUCCAGCACUUUCACAUGAAGAAAGCUACAUUUCUGGAGCUGCUGAGCAGCUUGCCCCAAACCUUCAGUGUCAGGACAGACAAAUGAGGCCAGCCGUUCUGGUCCAGGAACAGAUUUCUAUAACCAUGUGGAAACUGGCUAUCCCAAACUGCUACACGUCUGUUGCUAACCAUUCAAUGUUGGAAAGUCAACCAUGGGUAAAGUGGUUGCAGAGGUUUUUGAGGCAAUCAGGCAUGUGAGAUAUCCAAAGGUAGUGGGCAUAAACAAGAUCCCUGAAGUAAUUGCUAGUUUUAAGAGAAUGGGAUUUCCGAAAUGCAUAGAGGCCAUAUAUGAAAAUUAUGUGGCCAUAGUUCACCCUCCCCAAAAAGCAGAAGCACGUAAAUCACAAUGGGUACCACUCUAUUAUUAUGCAGGCCCUUGUACAUGCCAACAUGGGCUGCACUGGAAAGGCUUGUGAUGCCAGGGUUUUCCACUGAUCAGGAAUCUACAUUAAAUGUUACUGGCUGGGACACUUUCCCCCCUGAAUGGCAUUGUCAUAAAUUGAGUAACCAUCCCCAUUGUUAUCCUGGGGGACUCCACAUACCCCCUUUUGCCUUGGCUUAUGAAACUAUAUCCUGAUCUCAGAUAGCCUGGUAAAAAAGGUUUAAUUACAUCUCAGCAGGUUCAGAAUGGUGAUUGAAUGUGCAUUUGGCAGACUUUAAUCUGGCUGGCGCUAUUUACAGAAACAUUUGGAUUCCAGUGUCAUCAAAGCUGUUCGAAUUAUUGUGGCUUGCUGUGCUCUACACAAUCUUUGUGAAGCCAAAGAUGAGCCAUUUGCUCCUGAAUGAAACCGUGACAGUAAGGGAUUGCUGAAUCAAUACACUCAACUAUAAAGCACAUCUAUCACAGCUGGGGCAGGACAGAGCCAUCACAUCCAUAGAAUGGACUGGGGCAACCGCCCCGGGCCCUGCACUUUGGGGGCCCUGCACUUUGAGACGCAGGGUCCAGGGCAGCCUGGGAGGUUAGCAGGGGGCCUGGCGCUGGCAGCAGUGAGCAACUUGGCCCCAGCCUGCCCCACUGGCUCCUGGCAUCGAUCAGGGAAGGAAACCGAAGAGAGGUGGGGCAGGGGGUUGGGUGAAGGGAUGGAGUGGGGGUGGGGGUGGAGCAGGGGUGGGAAGAGGCAGGGCGGGGAUUAGGGGAAGAGUGGGGGUGGGGCCUGGGGGUUGUCCCAGGCCCUGCACCCCCUUAGGGAUAGCCGUGGGGCACAGUGUACCUGGGCAACACCAAGCAGGGAUGCUCUGUUCUCUCACAUUACAGACUUGCAUGGGCCUGUGAAAAAAGGGAUAAUAGUACAUUUAUGAAUGUUUGUGCAAUGUUUACAGUAAAUGAGGUACUAUCAUUCCCCUUCCCCUCGAUUUCAUUAUGUAUUGUGAAUGGGAUGGUUGAUUGCCAUGCAUUGGUCCUAUUGAUGACAGGACUGUUUAUGAACUGGGGCUGAGGGAAUUAAUUGCCAUUCAUAAAUGAGUGCAUGGCAUGACUUCUUAUGAAAUGGAGAGGGGGUAUGUGGCAACAACUGAGGAUUUAUAGUAUGGCUUGAUGUAAAGAAAUGCAUUAAGAAAUACUGUUUGUAUACAACUUUCCAGUUGUCCCUUAUCAUGUGUUUACCUAUUAUAAUGUGUAUAGAAAAUAGUAUGAUGUGAUGCAGUGACAGCAAUAACAUUUCUUAAUAAAAUAAAAACAAACAUUUAUUUUUGAACAUGUAUUAGAA
ensembl:lncRNA